AUACGUAGGGGGCUAGCGUUAUCCGGAAUUAUUGGGCGUAAAGAGUGAGCAGGCGGUUAAUUAAGUCUGAGGGUAAAGCGUGGGGCUCAACCCCAUAAAGCCUUGGAAACUGAUUGACUAGAGUACGGGAGAAGUGAAGGGAACUCCAUGUGUAGCGGUGAAAUGCGUAGAUAUAUGGAAGAACACCAGUGGCGAAGGCGCUUCACUAGCCCGAAACUGACGCUCAGUCACGAAAGCGUGGGUAGCAAAUAGGAUUAGAUACCCUAGUAGUCCACGCUGUAAACGAUGACAACUAAAUAUUGCCGCGAGGCAGUGUUGAAGCUAACGCAUUAAGUUGUCCGCCUGGGGAGUACGGUCGCGAGACUGAAACUUAAAGGAAUUGACGGGG
rnacentral:rRNA from 1 species